rnacentral:rRNA from 1 species
GAUGAACGCUGGCGGCGUGCCUAAUACAUGCAAGUCGAGCGAACGGACGAGAAGCUUGCUUUUCUGAUGUUAGCGGCGGACGGGAGAGUAACACGUGGAUAACCUACCUAUAAGACUGGGAUAACUUCGGGAAACCGGAGCUAAUACCGGAUAAUAUUUUGAACCGCAUGGUUCAAAAGUGAAAGACGGUCUUGCUGUCACUUAUAGAUGGAUCCGCGCUGCAUUAGCUAGUUGGUAAGGUAACGGCUUACCAAGGCAACGAUGCAUAGCCGACCUGAGAGGGUGAUCGGCCACACUGGAACUGAGACACGGCCCCGACUCCUACGGGAGGCAGCAGUAGGGAAUCUUCCGCGAUGGGCGAAAGCGUGACGGAGCAAAGCCGCGUGAGUGAUGAAGGUCUUCGGAUCGUAGAACUCUGUUAUUAGGGAAGAACAUAUGUGUAAGUAACUGUGCACAUCUUGACGGUACCUAAUCAGAAAGCCACGGCUAACUACGUG